AGUCAAGCCUCGACCACAUUGGAUCACCACAGUUGGGCGGGAAGAGAAUAGAGUCAGUGUUGAAGAGGUUUGGAAGCAACAUUAUAUUCUCCAAUGUAAUGCAGGAUCCCUCGAGGGGUACUGAAGAACAUUUCAAGCAGCAGUAUCGCGCUUGUGACCAAGAAAGAUAACAUUCUUCUGUCAAAUAGUGGUGUUGAGAAAAAAAUUGAAACUCAACAUUGUUUUGCAUGAAACAGGUGCGCACCAUGCGGAUCUCAAGGCAGCUACGAAAGGCGACCCGGAGUGGCUGAAAGAGCAGAGGAGUCACCAUUAUAGAGAAGUGGAUCAGUGAGUAGUACAGAGAUUUGAAAGAAGAAGACUAAGUUGAAGAAGACCAAUAGAAAACCAAAAGUUCAUUGCACAAGAUUAGCAAACAAAGACUUUAUGUAUGUUUAUCAUGUAGUUUGAGAUUCAG